rnacentral:rRNA from 1 species
CCUACGGGUGGCAGCAGUGGGGAAUAUUGGACAAUGGGGGCAACCCUGAUCCAGCCAUGCCGCGUGUGUGAAGAAGGCCCUCGGGUUGUAAAGCACUUUCAGUGAGGAAGAACGCCUGGUGGUUAAUACCCAUCAGGAAAGACAUCACUCACAGAAGAAGCACCGGCUAACUCCGUGCCAGCAGCCGCGGUAAUACGGAGGGUGCGAGCGUUAAUCGGAAUUACUGGGCGUAAAGCGCGCGUAGGUGGCUUGAUAAGCCGGUUGUGAAAGCCCCGGGCUCAACCUGGGAACGGCAUCCGGAACUGUCAAGCUAGAGUGCAGGAGAGGAAAGUAGAAUUCCCGGUGUAGCGGUGAAAUGCGUAGAGAUCGGGAGGAAUACCAGUGGCGAAGGCGGCCUUCUGGACUGACACUGACACUGAGGUGCGAAAGCGUGGGUAGCAAACAGGAUUAGAUACCCUUGUAGUC